rnacentral:rRNA from 1 species
UACGUAGGGUGCAAGCGUUAAUCGGAAUUACUGGGCGUAAAGCGUGCGCAGGCGGUUUUGUAAGUCUGUCGUGAAAUCCCCCGGGCUCAACCUGGGAAUGGCGAUGGAGACUGCAAGGCUAGAAUCUGGCAGAGGGGGGUAGAAUUCCACGUGUAGCAGUGAAAUGCGUAGAUAUGUGGAGGAACACCGAUGGCGAAGGCAGCCCCCUGGGCUAAGAUUGACGCUCAUGCACGAAAGCGUGGGGAGCAAACAGG